rnacentral:rRNA from 1 species
GGAAGUAAAAGUCGUAACAAGGUUUCCGUAGGUGAACCUGCGGAAGGAUCAUUAUUGAAAUAAACCUGAUGAGUUGCUGCUGGUUCUCUAGGGAACAUUUGUGCGCACUUGUCAUCUUUAUAUCUCCACCUGUGCACCUUUUGUAGGCCUAGGAAUUUAUUUUCCCAGGUCUAUGUUUCUUCAUUAUACCCCCCAAUGUAUGUUAUAGAAUGUAAUAAAAUGGGCCUUUGUUGCCUAUAAACCUAUACAACUUUCAGCAACGGAUCUCUUGGCUCUCGCAUCGAUGAAGAACGCAGCGAAAUGCGAUAAGUAAUGUGAAUUGCAGAAUUCAGUGAAUCAUCGAAUCUUUGAACGCACCUUGCGCUCCUUGGUAUUCCGAGGAGCAUGCCUGUUUGAGUGUCAUUAAUAUAUAUCAACCUAGUGUUGGAUGUGGGGGUCAAUUUUUUUGCUGGCUUUUUCUUGUCAGCUCCCCUGAAAUGCAUUAGCAGAACAAUUUCUGGAUCGUUCAUUGGUGUGAUAAUUAUCUACGCUAUUGACGUGAAAGCAGGUUCAGCUUCUAAUAGUCCAUUGACUUGGACAAUUUUUUCAUUAAUGUGACCUCAAAUCAGGUAGGACUACCCGCUGAACUUAAGCAUAUCAUA